CAGGACGAACGCUGGCGGCGUGCUUCAUACAUGCAAGUCGAACGAGAAUCAGGAGCUUGCUUCUGAGGAAAGUGGCGGACGGGUGAGUAAUAUGUAGAGAAUCUGCCCUUAGCGGGGGACAACAGUUGGAAACGACUGCUAAUACCCCAUAUGAGCGUAUCUGAAAUGAUAUUCUUGAAAACUCCGGUGCUAAAGGAUGAGUCUGCAUCUGAUUAGCUAGUUGGCGGUGUAAUGGACCACCAAGGCGACGAUCAGUAGCUGGUUUGAGAGGAUGAUCAGCCACAAUGGGACUGAGACACGGCCCAUACUCCUACGGGAGGCAGCAGUAGGGAAUUUUGCGCAAUGGGCGAAAGCCUGACGCAGCCAACGCCGCGUGAAGGAAGAAGUAUCUCGGUAUGUAAACUUCUAUCAGCAGGGAAGAUGAUGACGGUACCUGACUAAGAAGCCCCGGCUAACUACGUGCCAGCCGCAGC
rnacentral:rRNA from 1 species